rnacentral:rRNA from 1 species
AUUGAACGCUGGCGGCAGGCCUAACACAUGCAAGUCGAGCGGAUGAAGGGAGCUUGCUCCUGGAUUCAGCGGCGGACGGGUGAGUAAUGCCUAGGAAUCUGCCUGGUAGUGGGGGAUAACGUCCGGAAACGGGCGCUAAUACCGCAUACGUCCUGAGGGAGAAAGUGGGGGAUCUUCGGACCUCACGCUAUCAGAUGAGCCUAGGUCGGAUUAGCUAGUUGGUGGGGUAAAGGCCUACCAAGGCGAGGAUCCGUGACUGGUCUGAGAGGAUGGUCAGUCACCCUGGAACGGAGACACGGUCCAGACUCCUACGGGAGGCAGCAGUGUGGAAUAGUGGACAAUGGGCGAAAGCCUGAUCCAGCCAUGCCGCGUGUGUGAAGAAGGUCUUCGGAUUGUAAAGCACUUUAAGUUGGGAGGAAGGGCAGUAAGUUAAUACCUUGCUGUUUUGACGUUACCAACAGAAUAAGCACCGGCUAACUUCGUG